UAUGCAUCUUCUACGUUUGUUUGCCAACUGCCAUCAAACGCCACAAGCAGCAGAAGAAGAAGCAGAAGACGAAGAAGAAGAAGAGGAGAAACAAUAACAACAAGAAUGUCAGCGGAGGAAGAUGAUUAUAUGUCUGAUGCUUUUCUUAACCCAUUAAUGGAUGUUCGGCCUGGCAUGCCAAAGGUGAAACGUUUAAAGGAGUCUCUAAGACGAGAGACUUUGCACAAAGAGAAAAAUAUUCUUAACCAGCAAAAAAGCUACAAGGAAAAAGAGCAGACCAGACGAGAUGCUGCUUUGCAGAACUCUCUAAGCAGUGAAAAUAAAGGGUUUGCUUUGCUGCAGAAAAUGGGCUAUACAGCAGGACAAGGUCUGGGAAAAGAAGGUACUGGACGAGUUGAACCACUUCCCCUUAACAUAAAAACUGACAGGGGGGGAAUUGGAAUGGAAGAACAAAAGAAAAGGAAAGCAGAAGAGAAGUUAAGAAAUGAGAGAAAAAGAUUGCAAGUGAAGCAGCAUAUGGAGAAGAAGUCUCUUGAGGAUUUCAGAGAGCGCAAAAGAACUGAAAGAGAACACCGUGAAACUGAAGGAGACCUGAGGAAAAGUCAGUGGGCCUGUGAACAGCUGGACAAACAAAAGGGAAUAAUUGUACCAAAGGACAGCUGGUACUGGGCCGAAGAAGUUAAGAAUCAAGAGGCAGAGCAGGAUGAACCCAACACUGAAGGAAGUAAAGACGAUACGGAAUUAACGUCAUUAGUGAAGCUGGAGUUUAUAACGUCAUACCUGAGGAGUGUGCAUUUCUACUGCAUAUGGUGUGGGACAGCAUAUAGAGAUGAGGAGGAUAUAAACACGAACUGUCCUGGUUGUACAGCAUCAAAUCACAAUGAGUAAAGGAAGAAUCAUAAUAUGAAUGCCUAUGUCACCUCUCUUAUUUUAAAUACAGAUCUUUAAUUGGCCAGGAUGCAACCAGAAGCAGUGGACAGAAUGGAAACAAAUCAGCAUCAGGAACAGGCUAAGGUACCCAACAUCCAGGUUCUGGAGAACAAACUUGAUGUCACGGUCAGGGUUAAGUUCCAGAGGGACUGUGAUCUAUGCCAUACAGCAUACACAGUCAAGGGGGAGAUGUUUAGUGAUGUUUAACAGCAGCUGGUGCGACAUUGCAAUCAUUGUUCCUUUUACACUGCCUUACUACAUGAGGCUGCAACUCAACACUGGACUUAUCACCAGGACACUGCUCUUUUUGUGGUGGGGCUUUUUCCACAGCUCAACUUGAAACGCAGUGACAAACUUCCAUUAACAUAUGUCCUGGACCACUGCAUUGCUACCUACAUUGUGGAGCUUACUACUUGGAAUCUCGACAAAUGCAACGUUGUGUCCUAUGACAUGUGAGUGUUGAAGGACAUGAAGAGAGCUAGGGGAGGAAAAAUUUCUAUUGGGUGGCAGGUCCAAGUCCCUGGGACUAUAUUAGGAAGAAACUGUGUAAUAUUAACUCAGUAAGUGCAAUUAGAUAACCAGGAAAUUCAGUCUAGUUUUAGCAUGAUCUGUUUUAUUAAAGAUGUUAACUAUUCACUAAGACCGAAGUUCAAAUAUGUUUGUGUCAGUUGAAAGCAAUUGGCAUGGUUUCUUGUGGUACCACAGUAAUCUCAACAACACAAGGAAGAUUUAUUGUAUCUCUUUUCAUUUUGAUUCCAUUGUUUUUUGUUUAUUUUUGUUGUUGUUUUCAGUUCAUUGAUACAGAAGACUGAAAUAUGAUUUUGUUUCUGAGUAACAAUAGCAGUCUUUGUAAGUAAAGUGUUUUUUUUGUUGUUGUUGUUGUUGUUGCUUGUUUGCUUUUUUCCCUUUUUAUUACAUUGAGUGUUUCUUUAAAUUUAAAUCCAUACCUGUUUUCUGUGCAGGACCAUUGGGCUUUAUCUUUGACAAAUAUCAGCAGAACACUGAUGUUACAGACUUUACUCAUUUAAAAUCUCUGUGAUUGGACUGAUAAAUUGAUGGAUGUCAAACUGACAUUUUGAUGUUGGUAAUGUAUGUGGAUUAUGUAGUAUGUGGUUAUAAUUUUCGACAGAUAUUUGCCGAGGAUAGGUAGUUUAACUGGAGGCUAAAGGUUAACCCUAUCUGACUGGCUAUCUCCCAUCAUUAUUACUGGCUAAUGUGCAAUAAAAUGGAUGACCUCA